rnacentral:misc_RNA from 1 species
GAAAUGCGAUAAGUAAUGUGAAUUGCAGAAUUCAGUGAAUCAUCGAAUCUUUGAACGCACCUUGCGCUCCUUGGUAUUCCUUGGAGCAUGCCUGUUUGAGUAUCAUGAAAUCUUCAAAGUAAAUCUUUUGUUAACUCAAUUGGUUUCUACUUUGGUAUUGGAGGUCUUUGCAGCUUCACACCUGCUCCUCUUUGUUCAUUAGCUGCAUCUCAGUGUUAUGCUUGGUUCCACUCGGCGUGAUAAGUUAUCUAUCGCUGAGGACACUGUAAAAGGUGGCCAAGGUAAAUGCAGAUGAACCGCUUCUAAUAGUCCAUUGACUUGGACAAUACUUUUAUGAUCUGAUCUCAAAUCAGGUAGGACUACCCGCUGAACUUAAGC